CAAACCCCCACGGCAAAACCGCGCCUUCUUCCGCCCGACGCCCCGCCCCGCCCCGCCAGGCGCCAGCGCAGAUCUCCGCGCUUCACACCCAUCGCCCUCCGCCUCCGCCUCCGCUGCCGUUUGCUUCCGGCGGGGGAGUAGGGCGACGCGCCCGCUCGCGCUCCUGCCGGCUUGACCGAUGGGGCACAGCUCGAGGAAGAAGAAGAAGCGGGGCGCGGCCGGGCGCAAGGCCGCCAAGGACCACGCCGCGCAGCUCGAGGGCGACCAGACCGCCCUCGACGAGGAGCUCACCGCCCUGACUUCGAUUUUAGGGGAGGACUUCAAAGUAAAAUCAGCAUCACCUCAGACCCGACUUAACAUAUCUAUCAGGCCCUAUUCUGAUGGCAUGGGCUUUGAAGAUCUAAAUGUUUCAGCUAUUCUUGAUGUAAUAUGCUUUCCUGGUUACCCCCACAAGUGUCCGAAGUUACGUGUUGUUCCUGAAAAAAACUUGUCUAAAGAAGAUGCAGAUCGGCUGCUUUCACUUCUUGUUGAUCAGGCAAACAUUUAUUCCCGAGAAGGGCGUGUUAUGAUUUUUGAUUUGUUUGAGGCUGCCCAAGAGUUUCUGUCCGAGAUUACUCCCACUCAUGUUUCAGCAAGCACUGCUUCUUGCUUGGGUUCGAGCUCAACUACUGAUGUAGAUGUGAAAGUUAGCCUUGGUGGUGAUCCUAACCCUGGAAUCUCUUACAUAUAUAGCUCCUUUGAUCUGUACAGUCAAUUAUAUGAUGAUACUAGUUGGAAUCGACAAGGUCCAGAUCUGACAAUGGAUAGCGGCAGGAAAAAUUCUGGCUCUCAAUUUAAAACUAAUGUUAGAAGCAAGAGGAAAACAGUCAUAAAAAAAUCUCAUGUCUCAGCUGAUAAGGCUUAUCGUGCAAAGAGCUCAUCUGGUGAUAAAGCUGAACAGCAACGUGCCGCAAAGCAUGGUGUCAUACAGGAGGCAGCUCCGAAUUUACAUGUUGUGGCAGAGGACACUGAAAAUGAUAGCAAAACCUUGUCGACUAGCAAUGCGGGAAAUACAUCAGAUACUCCAGAAAGGAGUUCGAGCAGUCUACGUGAGCCUGAGGAUGCUGACCUUGCAGACGAAGCUUGGAAUGAAGAAGAUUGUGAUUCAGACUUUAGCUCCUCAAAUGCGUCAUCUUAUGUUUCAGAUAUGUUAGAUGAUGCUUCAAGGAAUAAGAAGAGGGAUUUAAUUCUGGUACACCUGCUUCGGAUAGCCUGUUCGUCUAAGGAUUCUCUUUCAGCUGCUUUGCCAGCAAUAUCAUCAGAGCUAUGCAACAUAGGGGUUCUUUCAGAGUGGGCUAAGAAUUUAAUAUCUGACUCUCCUGUUUUUGGGGAAACAUUCAGUCAUGUUUUCGGGCAACAAAUAAUCUCUUCAGAGUGCUCUCUGUUUUGGAGAGCUGAUAAUUCAUCAUCUAUGCCGAAUUCCCGUUAUUUGAAUGAUUUUGAGGAACUCCGUUCACUUGGUCAGGGGGGCUUUGGUCGUGUUGCAUUAUGCAAAAACAAGCUAGAUGGACGGCAGUAUGCUGUAAAAAAGAUACGCCUGAAGGAUAGAAGUCCUCAAGUGAAUGAGAAAAUUUUAAGAGAGGUAGCCACACUCUCACGAUUGCAACAUCAACAUAUUGUCCGUUAUUACCAGGCAUGGGUCGAAACUGAAUACGGUCAUCAUAAUAUUUUGAAUGCCAGUGGAUCCCGCACUGCUGAGAGCUCUAUCUUUAGUUAUGACGACAUCAGCCUAUCAGAUGCAGGUGGUGGAAAUAAGCAGGAAUCCACAUACUUGUACAUCCAAAUGGAGUAUUGUCCUAGGACCCUGCGACAGGAUUUUGAGACAUACAGUUCAUCUUUUGAUGUUGAUCAUGCAUGGCACCUAUUUCGACAAAUUGUGGAAGGUCUAGCUCAUGUCCAUAGUCAAGGAAUCAUACAUCGUGACCUGACUCCAAGCAACAUAUUUUUUGAUGUUCGCAAUGAUAUUAAAAUUGGGGAUUUUGGUCUAGCCAAAUUUCUGAAGCUGGAGCAGCUAGAUCAUGACCAAUAUCUUCCUACUGAGGCAAUGGGUGUUUCAAUGGAUGGAACCGGUCAAGUUGGUACCUAUUUUUAUACUGCACCUGAGGUAGAGCAGAAAUGGCCACAGAUAAAUGAAAAGGUUGACAUGUACAGUUUGGGAGUUAUAUUCUUUGAGCUUUGGCAUCCAUUUGCCACAGCGAUGGAAAGGCAUCUUGUUCUUUCUGAUCUUAAGCAGAAGGGAGAUCUUCCAAAAUCAUGGGCAGCACAAUUUCCUGCCCAGUUAAACCUGUUAAGACGCUUACUAUCUCCAAGCCCAUCUGACCGUCCAUCUGCUGUUGAGGUCUUGCAAAGUGAACUGCCUCCUCGGAUGGAAGACGAAUGGCUAAAUGAUGUGCUUAGAAUGAUACAGACACCAGAGGACUCAUAUGUUUAUGACCGUGUUAUAUCUACAAUAUUUAAUGAGGACAGGCUGAUUUCCAAAAUGCAAUGCCAACAUGAAAGCAGCAAAAAGUCCACUGGUAACACUGAUAACAGUGAACUUUUGGAUACUAUCAUUGAGGUUGCCAAGGAGGUGUUCAAGCGACAUUGUGCUAAAAGGUUCCAAAUAUCUCCCUUGCAUACUUUGGAAGGAAGUUUUACUGAAAAUAGGGAAAAGACAGUGAAAAUCUUAACUCAAGGAGGAGAGAUGCUAGAACUUUGCUAUGAACUGCGAACACCAUUUGUUAUGUCAAUUGCUGGUAAUCAGACAUCAUCAUUCAAGCGUUAUGAAAUAUCAUGGGUUCAUAGAAGAGCUGUUGGCCAUUCAACUCCUUAUCGUUUUCUUCAGGGGGAUUUUGACAUUGUUGGCGGUGCUUCACCAAUACCAGAAGCUGAAAUCAUUAAGGUGGCUUUGGACCUUGGGACCCGUUUUUAUGAUCCCAAGGCACUAGUCAUACGUCUGAAUCAUGGCAAACUUGCUGAAGCAAUUUGCUCCUGGGCAGGAGUUUCUCAGGAACGAAGACAAAAUGUUGCUGAGUUUCUAUCUUCAACUCUUGUUCAAUAUUGGCCAAAUAAGGCUGACCGCAAGUCACAGUGGAGUUUGAUUAGGGGGCAACUGUUGCAGGAUCUCCGACUUUCUGAAGAAGUUGUUGAGAAGCUACAUAAAGCAGAUCAGAGGUUUUGUGGCUCUGCAGAUCAAGUACUUGCUAGAUUAAGAGGGACCCUGUUCUAUGAUAAAUCUGCUUGCAAGGCUCUUGAUGAUCUAUCUGCACUUCUGAAAUGUUUGAGAGUAUGGUUGGUAGAAGUGUAGAACCAGUUACUAUUGAUGUCCUCAUGCCUCCCUCAGAAUGUUACUAUACAGAUUUGUUUUUCCAGGUAUACUCAAAAGAAGGUAAUCAUGGACCAAGUUUCCAUGAAAAGUUGCUGGCAGUUGGUGGGCGAUAUGAUUGGUUGAUGGAACAAGCUUGGGAUAAGGCACAUAAAUCCAAACCCCCAGGUGCUGUUGGUGUGAGCAUUGCACUUGAGAAAUUCCUUCCUAACAAUCCUUCAUCUGAUCUGGGGCUGCCAAGGUUACUGUCCAGGAUUGAACCUAGCAUCAGUGUACUUGUGUGUUCAAAGGGUGGUGGCGGUCUGUUAAAUGAGCGCAUGGAACUUGUUUCAGAGCUUUGGAAAGCUAACAUAAAGGCUCAGUUUGUUCCUCAGGAAGACCCAAGUCUGCAAGAACAGUAUGAAUAUGCCAGUGAUCAUGACAUCAAAUGCCUCGUAUUUAUCACGGAAUCAGGUCUCUCACAGACAGAUCUCGUGAAGGUUCGGCAUCUUGAUUUUAAAAGGGAGAAGGAUGUUAAAAGAGAGGAACUUACAAAGUUCUUAUCUGACGCAAUAUGUUCACAGUUCAAAAAUCCUACUAUAUGGAGCGUUACCAGUGGCCCUCCUUAGUCAUUUUGUGUUCAGAAUGAGCCAAAUUUGUGGCUUCUGGUGUCUCUUAAACUUCCAGGUGAAACCAGUGUUAUCUGUUCAAACAUUGUCUGGGCACACCACAAUCAUGCAUUCUGGCUUCCAGCAAAAAUGGUAAGGCAUGGCUCUCAGCAGUCUCGUCUGCUCUUCCAUGGACCGAGGGCCAACGUUACACCCUGUGCCCUCAACCGAAGAUAUGCACAGUGUUUGGCCAAUUGGUGUGGUCCUGGUUGAACUUUUUGAGGACCAAAGCCAUGCAGGGUAGCUUCAAAAUACAAGGUGGCAGGUAGUUGGUGCAAUUCUGCAAGUUUGGGGUUAUUGGAUAGACGGAGAGUUUGCUCCUGCAAAGUGCACGGUAGCACAAUUGCUAUGCGACAGACCAUUCUUUCUUUGCGUGUGAUUAAUUUUCAAUAGGAUUGCCUUGUACUUGGUCCGUUUUGUUGUUUUGUUGCAGUACAUGUACAUUGUUGGUUUUGGGGUAAAAAAUGUACAUUCUUGGGUUGCUGAUUGGAAAUGCUCAUUUCUGCAACCGCCUGUGCUUCGUAGUCAUAUAUGCAAUGGUAAAGAGCACUAA